rnacentral:rRNA from 1 species
AUUGAACGCUGGCGGCAUGCUUUACACAUGCAAGUCGGACGAGUGGCGGACGGGUGAGUAACCUCUCGGAACCUGCCGGGUUUUGGGGGAUAACUACUGGAAACGUUAGCUAAUACCGCAUACUCUUCGAUCUGCCCAUAUCUGAUUAGCUUGUUGUUGGGGUAACGGCCCACCAAGGCGACGAUCCCUUGCUGGUCUGAGAGGAUGAUCAGCCACACUGGAACUGAGACACGGCCCAGACUCCUACGGGAGGCAGCAGUGGGGAAUAUUGGACAAUGGGCGCAAGCCAGAUACAGCAAUGCCGCGUGUAUGAAGAAGGCCUUCGGGUUGUAAAGGACUUUUGGCGGGGAAGCGUUACCUGAAGAAGAAGCACCGGCUAACUACGUGCCAGCAGCCGCGGUAAUUC